UACGUAGGGUGCAAGCGUUAAUCGGAAUUACUGGGCGUAAAGCGUGCGCAGGCGGUUAUGCAAGACAGAUGUGAAAUCCCCGGGCUUAACCUGGGAACCGCAUUUGUGACUGCAUCGCUGGAGUGCGGCAGAGGGGGAUGGAAUUCCGCGUGUAGCAGUGAAAUGCGUAGAUAUGCGGAGGAACACCGAUGGCGAAGGCAAUCCCCUGGGCCUGCACUGACGCUCAUGCACGAAAGCGUGGGGAGCAAACAGG
rnacentral:rRNA from 1 species